CAGGGAGACAACAAAAUGUUUAAUAUUAUUAUUUUGUCACCUUAGGUCGAUCGGUAUCUCACGUUUUUAAUUAAUUAAGAAUUUCAUUUCCUAAGUUUUUCUAGGUCACACCCAUUAUUUUUCCUGGGCCAUUAGCUCAGGUGGUUAGAGCGCACCCCUGAUAAGGGUGAGGUCCCUGGUUCAAGUCCAGGAUGGCCCAUUCGUUGUUGGGGGUAUAGCUCAGUUGGUAGAGCGCCUGCUUUGCAAGCAGGAUGUCAGCGGUUCGAGUCCGCUUACCUCCACUGAUCAACUACCUGAUAACUCAAUUUGGAGAUUGUCAUUUGGUUAAUGUGACUUAGAUGUUGUUCAUCUGAAUGAACCUAGCUUCCUAUCUUUUAUUGACUGAUAAGACGCUGGGCUCACUGUUACUUGAAAGAGUAUCAGUUUGAUUCAGUAGAACCUUGACAACUGCAUAGGAAAGUCUGGAAAAAUAAAGCAUCUCAUAGAUGCAUAAAAAGCUAUUUUCUGAUAUUUUUAAUAUCUAAAUAAUAGCUUUUAAGUUAAUUCUUGAGUUAGAGCAUAAUUUCUAUUGCUUAAUUAAUUCUUCUAGAACAAAUUAAGCUUCUAAAUAAAUUUAGAAAUUAAAUAGAGAUUUAAUU
rnacentral:tRNA from 1 species